AACUCAAAUGAAUUGACGGGGGCCCGCACAAGCGGUGGAGCAUGUGGUUUAAUUCGAUGCAACGCGAAGAACCUUACCUGGUCUUGACAUCCACGGAAGUUUUCAGAGAUGAGAAUGUGCCUUCGGGAACCGUGAGACAGGUGCUGCAUGGCUGUCGUCAGCUCGUGUUGUGAAAUGUUGGGUUAAGUCCCGCAACGAGCGCAACCCUUAUCCUUUGUUGCCAGCGGUCCGGCCGGGAACUCAAAGGAGACUGCCAGUGAUAAACUGGAGGAAGGUGGGGAUGACGUCAAGUCAUCAUGGCCCUUACGACCAGGGCUACACACGUGCUACAAUGGCGCAUACAAAGAGAAGCGACCUCGCGAGAGCAAGCGGACCUCAUAAAGUGCGUCGUAGUCCGGAUUGGAGUCUGCAACUCGACUCCAUGAAGUCGGAAUCGCUAGUAAUCGUGGAUCAGAAUGCCACGGUGAAUACGUUCCCGGGCCUUGUACACACCGCCCGUCACACCAUGGGAGUGGGUUGCAAAAGAAGUAGGUAGCUU
rnacentral:rRNA from 1 species